rnacentral:rRNA from 1 species
UACGUAGGGACCAAGCGUUGUUCGGAUUUACUGGGCGUAAAGGGCGCGUAGGCGGCAAUUCAAGUCAUCUGUGAAAUCUCCGGGCUUAACUCGGAACGGUCAGAUGAUACUGCUUUGCUAGAGUGCGGAAGGGGCAAUCGGAAUUCUUGGUGUAGCGGUGAAAUGCGUAGAGAUCAGGAGGAACACCUGUGGCGAAGGCGGCCCCCUGGCCGGCCCUGACACUGAGACGCGAAGGCGUGGGGAGCGAACGGG